GAUCAUGGCUCAGAUUGAACGGGCUGGCGGAACGCUUUACACAUGCAAGUCGAACGGUAACGCGGUGAGAAGCUUGCUUCUCACCGGCGACGAGUGGCGAACGGGUGAGUAAUACAUCGGAACGUGUCCGCUCGUGGGGGACAACCAGCCGAAAGGUUGGCUAAUACCGCAUGAGUUCUACGGAAGAAAGAGGGGGACCCGCAAGGGCCUCUCGCGAGCGGAGCGGCCGAUGACUGAUUAGCCGGUUGGUGAGG
rnacentral:rRNA from 1 species